UGAUGAACUGUAGCCUCCCCAUGUCC
rnacentral:piRNA from 1 species